ACUCAAAUGAAUAGACGGGGACCCGCACAAGCAGUGGAGCGCCUGGUUUAAUUCGAUGAUCAACGAAGAACCUCACCUAAGCUUGAACUGUAGCUGCACCGCCGACCAAAAUCGGCUUCCUUCGAGGGUGCUAUAGAGGUGCUGCAUGGCUGUCGUCAGCUCGUGUCGUGAGAUGUAGGGUUAAGUCCCACAACGAGCGCAACCCCUAUCCGAUGUUAAAAUUACUUCGGAGACUGCCCCGCCAAAACGGGGAGGAAGGAGGGGAUGACGUCCAGUCAUCAUAUCCCUUAUGUUUAGGGCUACACAGACGCUACAAUGGUUAUUACAAUGGGUUGCCAAACCGCGAGGUGGAGCUAAUCUCAUCAAAAAUAACCUCAGUUCAGAUUGCAGGCUGCAACUCGCCUGCAUGAAGUCGGAAUUGCUAGUAAUCGUGCAUCAGCAUGGCACGGUGAAUACGUUCUCGGGUCUUGCACACACCGCCCGU
rnacentral:rRNA from 1 species